rnacentral:rRNA from 1 species
CCUACGGGAGGCUGCAGUGAGGAAUAUUGGUCAAUGGUCGGGAGCCUGAACCAGCCAAGCCGCGUGAGGGAUGAAGGUCCAGCGUAUCGUAAACCUCUUUUGUCAGGGAACAAAGUCGGGGACGUGUCCCCGGCUGAGUGUACCUUAAGAAAAAGCAUCGGCUAACUCCGUGCCAGCAGCCGCGGUAAUACGGAGGAUGCGAGCGUUAUCCGGAUUUAUUGGGUUUAAAGGGUGCGCAGGGGGGCUGUUAAGUCAGUGGUAAAAGCCCGGGGCUCAACCCCGGCCCGCCGUUGAAACUGGCAGUCUUGAGUUGGAGAGAAGUAGGCGGAAUGCGCGGUGUAGCGGUGAAAUGCAUAGAUAUCGCGCAGAACUCCGAUUGCGAAGGCAGCAUGCCGGACUGACACUGACGCUGAGGCACGAAAGCGUGGGUAUCGAACAGGAUUAGAUACCCUAGUAGUC